UCUUCCAAAUUUGAAUCCCAAGAGUUUCAGUUCUUUUGCAACUCUUAAUUUUUUUCGGGCGCGUGUAACUCUAUUCAAAUUAUGACUGUAAUUUUGUUAAACUGUAUUAGUUCUCACAAUUAUCUUAUCUGCUACCAUUCUCUUAGUGAUAUUCAAUAUUUUUAGGCUAGUUUGGUUACAGCCACCUUAUUUGUUAUUUUGUUUAAAGGAUGCCUUCUCUGUUUUGUAAGCUUUGACUUGUUCUGUUGUCCCGUUAAAGCAUGCCAACAGAACUGUAGGAAAAACUGUUCUCUUUGGAACUGUCUGUUAGAAUAUUUCCUAAGGGCCAUUCGACCCAAAAAUUUUCUGCAUUCCGAGCUUUCAUUUGUGAGUAAUCAAAUUUCUCCCAGUUAAACCCUAAUUCGAAUUCUGCCAGAAUCCUGAAAGUUUGGUUUUUUUGUUUUGGCAGUCCUAAUUAGCCCUAGUUUUGACUUUUGAGUAUAAUUCAUUACCUAAAUCUUUUUCAGAAAUAGAGAGUUAAUGAGUUAGAAUCACCAUUAUUUUAUUGCCCUCAUAAGGCUGCUAUGUUUGUUGGAUUGGAGAGGCAAUUUCUGGAAAUUCAUUUUAAAAGAAUCAUGUGCACAUGUGUAAAGAAAUAUUUCGGUUUCAAUAUCUGAAACAGUUUAAACCAAAAUCAUUUAUAAACAUUUUGGUUUCAAUAUCUGAAACCGUUUAUUGAAUGAUUCGGUUUCUUGCUCGAAACCAUUUAACGCCCUCACACAUGUGGUAUCAACAGGGGUCAAAGAGCAAAAACAAAACUAUUGCAAGUCUUCUUUAUUGGGAAAGAAGAAUGAACCUAAAUUGGCAUGAAGAAGAAUGGAUUGCAGGCAGCUUCGCAUAACCCUUUCAAACUUUCUCAAUAAUAAAGCAGUUUAUCAGGGUAUUUAGAUCUCAACUUCUGCAAUGCAUAUGCCUCUUUGCAUCUCAACAAAGACCCAUCGUGCUUCCUACAUUUUUUCUCUGCAACUGAGAACCAUGCUUGGGUUGUAUAGGUAUGUGAUCCAAGCAUGGUUCUUAAGAAUUGGUAUCGAAUUGGCCGUAUCGAGAAAAAGGGUUACACGUCAAAACUGGAGAAAAUGACCAAUGUGGGGUGGAAAGCCUUGGAUCGAAAGCCAAUGGCUGCAUCACUUUGUCUUACAUCAUGUUUCCAUAGAAACAUUGGCACAUUGACUAUAGAAAAAGCUUAAAGAUAUGUACGAGAAGACCAUCGACAACAAAGCUCUUUAGUUAGAAGUUUUGUAAAUUUGAAAUACAAAGAAGGGCACUUGAACGAGGUACAAAGCAUUGUUCGUGAAUCAACUCUCCUUCAUGAAGAUGAUGCUUGACGAUGAGUUGUAAGUGUUGUUAUUCCUCAAUUCAUUACUAGAUAAUUGGGAGACUCUGAUGGUCACUCAGCAACUCAGCAGCAGAUGGAAACUCACCAUGAGCCAAGUAAUAGGAAGUUUUCUGAAUGAAGAGAUAAGGAGAAAAUCCUUGGGCUUGUCUCAUCACGAGGCACUUGUCGUAGAGAACCAGGGGAAAGGAGGAAUUAGGCAACCUCAAGACUGUAAGAAUUAACUGGGAAGAUCCAAGUCAAGAAGAAUUGUAGUAGCAGGGCAUGAAAUAUGCCUGUAGAAAGCUCAAAGCACAGAGAUAGAACUACAAUGCAAAGAAAGAAGAAAAGGAUCCACUACCCUUAGCUUGGAAGGAGAAAAGAUCAUCAUGUCGAGGGUCCGAACCGGCAAGGGUUGACACGGGUGCCCUAUGGUGUAUGACAGCAAGGGUAACGUCAAAUGUAGGAUGGUUGGACAAGAUUGAGCCGGUACUCGAUGUGAUUCGCACGCCUAAGCCAUGCCCGUGCACGUAUCACAAGGCUAUGUAUGAGUAGGGAAGAUAUGUUAUUGUACUUGAUGGUGAGGGCUUGGUGCACGACAAGUGGCGGAAGUGAAAUACGUGUUGAGAACCCGUUUCCCACCAAAAUCUAGCAAGGAUUGUCAUAUUCUGGCCAACCGGUGGGUGGUCAUUGGUGGGUGAGACCCUCCAGUGCGACCCACCUGUGGGGGAGAUAUGGGCCCCAACGAGCCCAACUUGGGUGAACACACGUGUUUCGGGUUCCCCGUCGUAGUGAAGACAUAUGGGUUUGAUAUUACCGGCUACUUCGCCUGGUAUCAUGGUUCAAUGCGAUUCAGACCAAAGAAUGACAAUACCUAUAUAAAUAGCAUUUACUCUCCCAUUUAUUAUUUCAGCAAAGGUUGGUGGAGAGGAGUAAAGAAAAGGGAGAAAAGAGGGAAGAGACGGAAAGGAGGAGUAAGGGAAGUGUUUCCCCCUUUGCUACCGAAAUUGUACCUCACUAUUUCGACGCAAAAAAAGUGAUCGGUGCCUUGAGAUCUACAAAUUAAGGUAGGUUUUAAAGGAGGAACAACCAAGAUUUGAAGGCAUUUUGUGAUAUUUUGAGUUUGGAAAAGGAUCCUAAGUUUUUGGGGUUUCUUGAGUUAAAGGUAUGAUUUUGUUCCCGAAAUCUCGAUUUAGACCUAGAUCUAUGAUGUGUUUAUGUGAAUGGUGCCUUAAAUGUGUGGGAAAUGUGUUGGAAACAAUCCCCUUGGAUUCCCCAGAGGUGGGAUGGAGAAGAGAAGAAGGACAGUAGAACCCGCUGAACACUGGUGGGUAACACCGGCGGGUAACCAGAUCCACUAGUGUGACCCCUAGUCUUUCCUGGGCUUCGGAGCCUACCGGUGGGUACCCUUACCGGCGGUACCCGCCGGUAGCACCCAUUGGUCUUGGGUUAGCCUCGGGGUCCUACUGACGGGUAAGACCGAUGAGUACCAGACCCGUCGAUAGCACCCGCCAGUGUGUGUAUGAGUGUUGUUUGCCUG